GGUUUGGUGGUCUAGUGGUAUGAUUCUCGCUUAGGGACAACCCUAUUCAUAUUAUGCGAGAGGUCCCGGGUUCAAUCCCCGGCCAAACCC